GGAAUUUCAACCCGGAUGACACAGCACUGCCAACAGACCCUCGGUCUGAUGAAGCCCUACUAUUGCUCUGCCUCAAAAACACAGCAUAUAGGACAGCAGAUUGACAAGAGUUCUUCCUGAGAUGAUGGCUCAUUGGGAAAGAUCUUCCUUAGCAGCCGGUGUCACUAGCAGUGAGAUUUAAGAUUUUGGUGAAGAAGACAAGAUGAGCCUUCAGUGGGGUAAGAAUGUAAGAACUAUCUGCUGCAUCAGACCAAAGGAGAGGCUCCAACUAGGGACAGUCCCUGAUUUUUGUUAUCACUCAGUGGUAAAUCACUGGCUUACAGACAGUGCAGCAUCCAAGAGGGAUGCGGGCGUUGUGGCUGUGCGUGGACAUCAGUGACAGGGAAGACAUGACAGCUGGAGAGCAGAGUGGUGCAGUGUUUUUGGUUAAUCCAUUCCUUGAUCCAGGCCAGCUCUUGAAUGGUGCUGUAGGUUCUUUUAGUCCAGUUCUGUGUUAGAGGUGGGGCUAACAAACAACCAGCAGCAAGAACACUGAAAGCAGUCUUCACUUGCCUCUCUGUAAAUAAUAUUGGUUUCUAUUUCUAUAUAGAACAUCUUUGUCCCACUAUAAAUGUUAAAGAGGAAAUGAGGGAAGCCUUGGCUAUUGAGCAAGUGUGUGUUUUUUCAUUUUCUCUCGCCUGAUUAUGAGAUCUGUAAUAGGAUUGGUUGAUAUGGGUACUGUAAUAGGAUUGGCUAUUUGCUGUUAGUCUGCUGAGUCAUGAUGCUUAUCUACUGUAUGCUUGCUUGCUUCAACUACUAGAACAUAGCACUGAAGCUGAUGUGUUACAUUGAAACGUUUGCUGGUUCUGGGCAUCUCUUUUUAUGUUUUAUGCAUUAAAGGAGGUCUUUGAA